rnacentral:rRNA from 1 species
AACGAACGCUGGCGGCAGGCUUAACACAUGCAAGUCGAGCGCCCCGCAAGGGGAGCGGCAGACGGGUGAGUAACGCGUGGGAACAUACCCUUUGGUUCGGAAUAACUCAGGGAAACUUGAGCUAAUACCGGAUACGUCCGUAAGGAGAAAGAUUUAUCGCCAAAGGAUUGGCCCGCGUCCGAUUAGCUAGUUGGUGAGGUAACGGCUCACCAAGGCUACGAUCGGUAGCUGGUCUGAGAGGAUGAUCAGCCACAUUGGGACUGAGACACGGCCCAAACUCCUACGGGAGGCAGCAGUGGGAAUAUUGGACAAUGGGCGCAAGCCUGAUCCAGCCAUGCCGCGUGAGUGACGAAGGCCUUAGGGUUGUAAAGCUCUUUUGUCCGGGAAGAUAAUGACUGUACCGGAAGAAUAAGCCCCGGCUAACUUCGCGCCAGCAGCCGCGGUAAU